rnacentral:lncRNA from 1 species
UGAAAUACCAUUUUCCAACCAAAUGGAAAUGUGAAUUCUGUUUUAUUAUGAUAAGUAUGAACACUGUGUUCUCACAUUAGAGAAUUUGAAUUACCUCUCCUACAAAGGGAAGUGCAAACACAUUGUCCCACUAAAGACUGAAGAAUUCAACUGAUAUUUAAUUAAGGAAGGCAAAAUGCCCAGUCCUCAUCAGAAAAAAAGGUUGAAGUCCAUGUUAUAAUGUGAGAAUAUGGUGAUGGGAAUGUCUUCAUGUGAAGAUCACGUGAAGAUCCAUUUCCUUGUGAUGGAAGUGUGAAUGCCGGGUCCUCAUAUAAUGGAAUGGUGAAUGAUGUGUCCACUCUUAGUUGAAGUCUGGCCACCUUCUGCACAUCUGAUGAGGUGGUGAUUGAUGUGUUGUAGUGUUAGGGCUGGGAAGUUUCAAGGUCUUCACAUUGCAGUAGGGUGAAGGUAGGUCUUCAUGAGAUGGAAGGGUAAAUUCCCUAUGCACAUACAAGGAAAGCUGGACCCUCUCACAUCACAUGUUGGAAGUUUGAAUGUGGAGUCCUCAUUGAAUGAGAAUGGGAAUGUCUACCUGAAAACUUGAGAGAAGAAUGAAGACUCCAUCUUCACUGAGGGAAGGUUGAAGGCCCUAUUCUUUGUGGAUGGGUACACACUCACUUGAACUGUGAGGGAAUGAAUGUCAUCUCCUCAAUUAAUAGAAUGGAGAAGUCCAUCUGGAUUGUGGAUAGGACAUUUUCCCUUUAGAGUAUUUGAAUUCCCAAUUCACAAAAAGGGAAGUGUGAACACAAUCUCUAAUAUGUUCUGAUGAAUUUUCACACAGAACUUAGGUAAAGAAAGAAAAAUGCCUUCUCUUUAUCUGACAGAAAGAUGAAGGCCAUGUUGCAUAGUGAUAAUAUGGUGAAGGCUAAGUUCUUAUGUAAAGAGAGCAUGCAGGUCCUUUUCUCUCAUAUUGGAAGUGUUGUUGCACACUCCUUGUUGGAUAACAUGGUGAAUGCUGUGUCAUCUAUUAAUCAAAGUCAAAUCACACUGGAGAAGAUCAUGUCUUCAUGUGCUGGCAUGGUCAGUGUCCUGUACUCAGCAAAUGAAAGGUAGCAUGGUUUCCUGAGUUAUAAGGUUAGAGUGUAUGACAUUUUGUCCUGUGAUGAUAGUGUUAAUGCCCUUUCAUCACAUGAUGGACAUUUGAAUGUCAUGUGUUUAUUUGGUGGAACACUAGAUGUACUUUACAAUCCCAGGGAAAGAGUAAAUGCUCUGUCCUUGUAAGACUGAAUGUGCUAUUCUUUGCAGAUUAAAGGACAUUGAUUGGAAUUCUCCUUUGAGAUAGUAAAUGCCUUCUCCUCACUAAUUAAGAAUGAUGCCUUUUAUCACUGGACAGAAGGGCAACCAUGGCAUUCUCAUUUUAGAGAAUUUGAAUGCCUUCUCCACUCUGAGGGAAGUGUUAAUGUCCAUUUGUCCACUUGUGACUGAAAAUUAUCACCCAGUAAUCACCUGAAGAAGGCCUUGUGCCUUCUGCUUCUCUGAGUUCAGGGUGAAGGGUGAAGACCAUAUUACAGUGUGAGAAUAUGGUGAAGGGAAUGCCUUCAUGUGAAGAUGCAGUUCUUGUUCUCAUGUGAUGGAAGGGUGGAUGGAGUGUCUGCAGGUAAUGGUUAAAGGUGAGUAUUAUUUUAUCCUGUUGGAAGUUUGAGCAGCCUCUGCCCUUGUGAUUGAAGGAUGAUUGAUAUGUAUCAUGUUAUGCCUGGGUGAAUGCAGGUUCCUCACAUCACAAUAGGGUGAAGGUCUUGUUGUCAUGUGAUGGAGGGAUGAAUGAGUUGUCCUCAGCCAUGGAGAGGUGAACUCUGUUACCUGAAAUGUUGGAAGUUUGAAUGUGGUGUCCUCAUUGAAUAGGAACAUGAAUGUCUUUUCUGUACCUGAGGAAUGAGGGAAUCUCCUGUAUUCAACUGAUGGAUGCAUGAACACCUUUUUUAAAAAAAAGAUUUAUUUUAUUUACUUGAAAAACAGAGAGAGGUAGAGUGAGAGUGAGAGUGAGAGAGUGAGAGCGAGAGCGAGAGCGAGAGAGAGAGAGUCUUCAUUCUGCUGGCUCACUCCCCAAAUGACC